rnacentral:rRNA from 1 species
CCCCUAGAUGUUCUGGGCCGCACGCGCGCUACACUGAACAGUUCAACAAGUCUUAACCUUGGCCGAUAGGUCUGGGUAAUCUUUGAACGCUGUUCGUGAUUGGGAUAGACCUUUGCAAUUAUGGGUCUUCAACGAGGAAUCCCUAGUAAACGCAAGUCAUCAGCUUGCAUUGAUUACGUCCCUGCCCUUUGUACACACCGCCCGUCGCACCUACCGAUUGAAUGGUCCGGUGAAAUCUCGGGACGGCGGCUUGGUCGCUUGCGUCCGACUGCUGAAACUUGAUUAAACCAUAUCAUUUAGAGGAAGGUGAANUCGUAACA